rnacentral:rRNA from 1 species
UUAAGCGACUAAGCGUACACGGUGGAUGCCCUGGCAGUCAGAGGCGAUGAAGGACGUGCUAAUCUGCGAAAAGCGUCGGUAAGGUGAUAUGAACCGUUAUAACCGGCGAUGUCCGAAUGGGGAAACCCAGUGCAAUUCGUUGCACUAUCGUUAACUGAAUACAUAGGUUAACGAGGCGAACCGGGGGAACUGAAACAUCUAAGUACCCCGAGGAAAAGAAAUCAACCGAGAUUCCCCCAGUAGCGGCGAGCGAACGGGGAGCAGCCCAGAGUCUGAAUCAGCUUGUGUGUUAGUGGAACGGUCUGGAAAGUCCGACGGUACAGGGUGAUAGUCCCGUACACCAAAAUGCACAGGUUGUGAACUCGAAGAGUAGGGCGGGACACGUGGUAUCCUGUCUGAAUAUGGGGGGACCAUCCUCCAAGGCUAAAUACUCCUGACUGACCGAUAGUGAACCAGUACCGUGAGGGAAAGGCGAAAAGAACCCCGGCGAGGGGAGUGAAAAAGAACCUGAAACCGUGUACGUACAAGCAGUGGGAGCACCUUCGGGUGUGACUGCGUACCUUUUGUAUAAUGGGUCAGCGACUUAUAUUCUGUAGCAAGGUUAACCGUAUAGGGGAGCCGCAGGGAAACCGAGUCUUAACUGGGCGUUAAGUUGCAGGGUAUAGACCCGAAACCCGGUGAUCUAGCCAUGGGCAGGUUGAAGGUUGGGUAACACUAACUGGAGGACCGAACCGACUAAUGUUGAAAAAUUAGCGGAUGACUUGUGGCUGGGGGUGAAAGGCCAAUCAAACCGGGAGAUAGCUGGUUCUCCCCGAAAGCUAUUUAGGUAGCGCCUCGUGAACUCAUCUUCGGGGGUAGAGCACUGUUUCGGCUAGGGGGUCAUCCCGACUUACCAACCCGAUGCAAACUACGAAUACCGAAGAAUGUUAUCACGGGAGACACACGGCGGGUGCUAACGUCCGUCGUGAAGAGGGAAACAACCCAGACCGCCAGCUAAGGUCCCAAAGUCAUGGUUAAGUGGGAAACGAUGUGGGAAGGCACAGACAGCCAGGAUGUUGGCUUAGAAGCAGCCAUCAUUUAAAGAAAGCGUAAUAGCUCACUGGUCGAGUCGGCCUGCGCGGAAGAUGUAACGGGGCUAAACCAUGCACCGAAGCUGCGGCAGCGACACUAUGUGUUGUUGGGUAGGGGAGCGUUCUGUAAGCCUGCGAAGGUGUGCUGUGAGGCAUGCUGGAGGUAUCAGAAGUGCGAAUGCUGACAUAAGUAACGAUAAAGCGGGUGAAAAGCCCGCUCGCCGGAAGACCAAGGGUUCCUGUCCAACGUUAAUCGGGGCAGGGUGAGUCGACCCCUAAGGCGAGGCCGAAAGGCGUAGUCGAUGGGAAACAGGUUAAUAUUCCUGUACUUGGUGUUACUGCGAAGGGGGGACGGAGAAGGCUAUGUUAGCCGGGCGACGGUUGUCCCGGUUUAAGCAUGUAGGCUGGUUGUCCAGGCAAAUCCGGAUAAUCAAGGCUGAGGUGUGAUGACGAGGCACUACGGUGCUGAAGUAACAAAUGCCCUGCUUCCAGGAAAAGCCUCUAAGCAUCAGGUAACAUCAAAUCGUACCCCAAACCGACACAGGUGGUCAGGUAGAGAAUACCAAGGCGCUUGAGAGAACUCGGGUGAAGGAACUAGGCAAAAUGGUGCCGUAACUUCGGGAGAAGGCACGCUGGUGUGUAGGUGAAGUCCCUGCGGAUGGAGCUGAGACCAGUCGAAGAUACCAGCUGGCUGCAACUGUUUAUUAAAAACACAGCACUGUGCAAACACGAAAGUGGACGUAUACGGUGUGACGCCUGCCCGGUGCCGGAAGGUUAAUUGAUGGGGUUAUCCGUAAGGAGAAGCUCUUGAUCGAAGCCCCGGUAAACGGCGGCCGUAACUAUAACGGUCCUAAGGUAGCGAAAUUCCUUGUCGGGUAAGUUCCGACCUGCACGAAUGGCGUAAUGAUGGCCAGGCUGUCUCCACCCGAGACUCAGUGAAAUUGAACUCGCUGUGAAGAUGCAGUGUACCCGCGGCAAGACGGAAAGACCCCGUGAACCUUUACUAUAGCUUGACACUGAACAUUGAGCCUUGAUGUGUAGGAUAGGUGGGAGGCUUUGAAGCGUGGACGCCAGUCUGCGUGGAGCCAACCUUGAAAUACCACCCUUUAAUGUUUGAUGUUCUAACGUUGGCCCCUGACCGGGGUUGCGGACAGUGUCUGGUGGGUAGUUUGACUGGGGCGGUCUCCUCCCAAAGCGUAACGGAGGAGCACGAAGGUUAGCUAAUCCUGGUCGGACAUCAGGAGGUUAGUGCAAUGGCAUAAGCUAGCUUGACUGCGAGCGUGACGGCGCGAGCAGGUGCGAAAGCAGGUCAUAGUGAUCCGGUGGUUCUGAAUGGAAGGGCCAUCGCUCAACGGAUAAAAGGUACUCCGGGGAUAACAGGCUGAUACCGCCCAAGAGUUCAUAUCGACGGCGGUGUUUGGCACCUCGAUGUCGGCUCAUCACAUCCUGGGGCUGAAGUAGGUCCCAAGGGUAUGGCUGUUCGCCAUUUAAAGUGGUACGCGAGCUGGGUUUAGAACGUCGUGAGACAGUUCGGUCCCUAUCUGCCGUGGGCGCUGGAGAAUUGAGGGGGGCUGCUCCUAGUACGAGAGGACCGGAGUGGACGCAUCACUGGUGUUCGGGUUGUCAUGCCAAUGGCACUGCCCGGUAGCUAAAUGCGGAAGAGAUAAGUGCUGAAAGCAUCUAAGCACGAAACUUGCCCCGAGAUGAGUUCUCCCUGAGACU